UAUACUAAUUAUUAAAUACGUGGAACCUCUUCAACUGCUAGUACUUCCUUUCAUUGCCAGGCUUUCUAGAAUAGGAAGUGCUACCCAUCGUGAUAAGGUGGAAUUUGAAUAAUGCAUGUGCAAGACUUCUCUGAAGAACAUUGGCAGAGUUUGGAUGAAUCAAAACAAGGAUUGUCAUAUUCCAGGUCCCAAGCACAUGAUGUGCCUGCUGCUUAGAUCAAUAUUAAUGCCAAGUGGUGGGAGAGGAUUGGAGGAGAAGGUGGAAGUAGCAUGGACAUACAGAUGUCUGAAAUCAGCUCUGCAUAACCAGAAUACCGGUGCACUGAGAUCUCCCAGCCCUGCACAUCUGAAAGAGAAAGUCAAGACCUGCAAGGUCAAAAAAGACAGAAAAUAGGCUAUUAAGAAUG
rnacentral:lncRNA from 1 species